rnacentral:rRNA from 1 species
AUUGAACGCUGGCGGCAGGCCUAACACAUGCAAGUCGAGCGAGCGGCGGACGGGUGAGUAAUGUCUGGGAAACUGCCUGAUGUAGGGGGAUAACUACUGGAAACGGUAGUUAAUACCCCAUACCAUCAGCUGUGUUCAUGUGGGAUUAGCUAGUAGGUGGGGUAACGGCUAACCUAGGCGACGAUCCCUAGCUGGUCUGAGAGGAUGACCAGCCACACUGGACCUGGGACACGGUCCAGACUCCUACGGAAGGCAGCGGUGGGGAAUAUUGCACAAUGGGCGAAAGCCUGAUGCAGCCAUGCCGCGUGUGUGAAGAAGGCCUUCGGGUUGUAAGGCACUUUCAGCGGGGAGGCGUUACCCGCAGAAGAAGCACCGGCUAACUCCGUGCCAGCAGCCGCGGUAAUUC